rnacentral:misc_RNA from 1 species
GAAAUGCGAUACGUAGUGUGAAUUGCAGAAUUCCGUGAAUCAUCGAAUCUUUGAACGCAUAUUGCACUCGAGGCCUCGGCUGAGAGUAUGCCUGUCUCAGCGUCAGCUCACCCCUCGCCCCACCCGACUCCCCCGAAAGGGAGGGUCGGGCUUCGGGCGGAAGUGGCCGUCUCGGCACCUGAAACACGGCGCCGGGUCGGCUGAAGCACAGGGCUUGCUGCCGGACACCCCCUUUCGCUGCAAAGGGGCGCCAGCUUGGUAGGUGGCUUUUGCCGCAUGCCGCUGUCGUUCCCGCCGCUUCGAUUGAAAGAGUCCGUGCCAGCGCGGCCAAGCAGGAAACCUGCGGGAAGGGCGAGUCCACCAGGGCUCCUCCGACCCGCACCAACCCUUUCGACCUGAG